rnacentral:lncRNA from 1 species
UAAAAGUCUCAUCUUUUUGCCUCUCCGCAUAUAUAUUUCUCCAACUUCUUGUUAGGGUUUCUUUCCUCACCCAAAAUUGCCCAUUAAUCCAACAUAAUUGAAUGAAAAUUCAUUACAUGGGUUGUUUUUUCUUCCCAAGAAAUCAGUAAAGAUCCAAACUUUGAGCUCAAAAAAGUGUCCAAGAUCUCUCUCUCACUAGACUCUCUCUCGGUCCACGACCUUCGGCGCCGACGCCGACCGUCGGUGCCGAGCC